rnacentral:lncRNA from 1 species
UUUUUUUUUUUUUUUAAGAUCUCUUUAUUUGAGAGAGAGAGAGUGCAGGGGGGAAAGGCAGAGGGAGAAAGAAACUCAAGCAGAUUCUGUGGAAUGUGGAGCCCAAUGCAGGGCUUGAUCUCACGAUCCUUUGAUAAUGAUCUGACCCGAAACCAAGAGUGGGACACUUAUCCUACUGUGCCACCCAGGCCCCCCCGACCUGUGUUCUUAUAUGAAGAGCUCUAAGACACUGUUGAAUGAAAAAAACAAAAGGCAGAACGUACAAAAUAUUCAGAGGAUAUAUACAAAACUCAUUUUGGUGGCUAUCUCUAUGUAGAGGGCUGGAAUUGGUAAAAGAGAUUUUUGUCGUGUUAGAAAAUUAGCAAUGAACACGUACUUAUGUGUAAAUUGUAUAAUCAAGGAGUUUUUAGGAAAUCACGAGUGGGUCUUAUUGUCUGAAACAGAGCUGUCAAAUAGAAUUUUUGCAAUGAUGGAAAUGAUCUAUAGCUGCACCACACUAGCCACCCGAAGCUAUUUCAUUUCACACUUGUAAUUUAGGAACUGAAUUUUUAAGUCAGUUUAAUUGUAAUUAAUUAAAAAUUUGACAGGAUAUGUGGCUCGUGGCACCUGUAUUGGGCAGUUCUUUUUUUUUUUUUUGUAUUGGACAUUUCUAAUUAAGAUUUGCAAGGUGGGCUUUGUAGUUCAGACUUUAUCUUAGAGGCAGUGGGACAUGUGCAUGGGAGAGGCUAUCGAUUUAUCCAAAAAACUCUAGCAGGCAGCCCAGAGAGCAAGCAGGCUUUGUCUGUUUGGAAGGCUGCUGUGUUCCUCUUCAUGGCCUCUGGACAUUGCCCCAGCAUUCCUGACGGGCAGCUGAGUAAAGUAUUCUGCUCAACAGCUAUUUUUUUUUUAAGAUCUCAGGCAACCCCAGGUAGAGAAACUGGUCUGAGUUUUGAGAGGGGUUAACCUCAGUGGGGGAAGCAGAUCUGGGCAGGACGAACAGCAGAUGGAUAGCAUUAGAGUACAAAUGCAUAGCAGGCUUCCGUGGGGCCUGUAGAGAAAGCUUCUCCAGGGUCAGGAAUUUGCCCAGGGCGGAUUCUUUGGAAGGUGCCACGAGCUGCCAGUGCACAGCCCAGGUAUCCGCUCAGUUGGCAGAGGGUUCUGCUCAGGAAGGCUGCCCUGCCCUGGUUCAUUCAGGCCCUUCCCUGAAGUCUGCUGGGGCCCUCCUUAUUGGCCAAAGAGGAGUUUUGGUGGAGGAUCCAUUUAUUUCAAGGAACACCCUCUCUGCCAGACACGAGGCUAGGUGCUUAGUCCACAACGCAAAGCAGACACACUCUUUGACUUCAUAGGACUUUUCCACUAAAACAAAAUAAAGGUCUGCAUACAUAUUUACAAAUCAUGGUAAGUGUCCUAAAGGAAAAAUAUUUAAGAUAGAGUGCUAGGAGAGAAGAGGGAGAGCAUAAUUUCAACGAGGGGAGCAUCAGAGAAGAUUUCAUUCAGGAGGUUUCAGCUUCUCUACCCCAAAAUGGCCCAAAGACCCCCAAAGACAAACAGAAGUUAGCUAGGUAAAGAGGGAACCCAGGAAGGGUUGGAUGUCAGGAGAGGGCAUUCUAUACUAAAGGACUAAUGUGUGCAAAGGCCCUGAAAUGGGAACUUGACCUUCUGAGAAAGAAGGUAGAGUGGGUAGGGCGUGGUGAAUGAGAGAGUGAGAGGUCGAGGGUGAGGUAAGAGGCGGGCAGCACCCGAACACUGCAGGCUUUGUUUUAUUCUGAGUGCAGAAUUUAAGCAGAAGAGUGACAGAGUGUCUUUCUGGAUGUGGUGCGAGUAGAUUAGAACAGGGCACCAGCAAACAGUAGGCUGGAUCGCCCACAAGCGAAGAAUGGUUUUCACAUUUUUAAACAGUUGAAAGGAAUCCAAAGAAUAUUUUUGUGAUAUGUGAAGGUUUUAAGGACAAAUUUCAGUAUCCAUAAAGUUUUACUGGCACACAGUCAUGCUCACUCGUUUACAUAUUGUCUACGGCUGCUUCUGCGUUGCAUUGACAGAGCUGACUGGUUGCGGUGGGACUGCAUGCCCAGAAAAGCCUUAAAUGUUUGCUAUCAAGCCCUUUACACAAAAACUCUGUGGCUCUCUGAGGGAGACAAAAAGAAGGAGACCAUUUAGGAGAUGGCUUCAGUCAUUCAGGUACCAGGGAUAGGGGCUUGUUGUAGGGUGGUGGUUGUACAGCUCCCCAAUACAGGGAUUGAAGACGCGGCCAUGGGAAGGAAUCAAGAGAACUUGCUGAUGGGUUAAAUGUAGAUGGGAAGGAAGAGGUACAUUUCAAAAUGAAUCCCAACCUGUGAUCUUGGAUUGGAUUCUGGACCAGAGUAGGACAUGACUGGGGCACUUGGCCAAAUUUGGAUAAGAUUUGUAGAUUAGACAUUAGUGUUAUUAGUACUAAAUUUCUCAUCUUUUUUUUUUUUUUUUUAAAGUAAACUCUAUGUGCACCGUGGGGCUUGAACUCAUGACCCUGAGAUCAAGAGUAGCAUGUUCUACCAAGUGAGCUAGCCAGGCGCCCCCAAAUUUUCUCAUCUUGAUCAUUGUAUUUUUAUCUGAUGUCACAUCCAGGAAAUUAGGGAAGAGCAUAUGGAAAUUCUUUGUAACCUUUUCGCAAUUCUAUGCAAGUCUGAAAUUCUGUCAAAGUGAAAAGUUUAAACAUAAAACAAAAACGAUUCACCGGUGUUUACCUUGAGUCUCGACUCAAAAGUGCCAUUUACUGAGACAGUAGAAAUGUGAAAGAGGCAGGAGGAGAGUGGAAAAUCAAGACUUCUCUUUUGGAUACAGUAGGUUGAAAUGCUGAGAUGUCCAAGGGGGUGUGUCAAGAAGGCAGGGCUAGGCAUUAUUUUGGACAUCACCCAAGAGCUAAAGGAAGGUAUCGGCACCAUGUAACUCAACCUCAGACUGGGGGCUCUGUGAGGUUAGGCAGGCUAAGGUGGCAAAGGGGGACCUGAGAGGACUAGGUGUGGAGUGUCCAAGGCAUAGCAGGCAUUGUGUUCAGCCCUUUGGCACCCAAGGCUUGCAACAGCCCGAUCCAGUAGUCCUAAUUCUUCCCAGUUUGCAAAGGAGGGAACAGAAUCAGAGAGGUGCUAAGAUUUGCUCUAAAACGAGGAUGCCUGGGUGGCCCAGCGGUUUAGCGCCUGCCUUCGGCCCAGGGUGUGAUCCUGGAGUCCCGAGAUCGAGUCCCACAUCGGGCUCCCUGCAUGGAGCCUUCUGUCUCUGCCUAUGUCUCUGCCUCUCUCUCUCUCUCUUUCUCUCUCUCUCUGUGUGUCUGUGUGUGUGUGUCUGAAUAAAUAAAUAAAAUCUUAAAAAAAAAAAAAAAAGAUUUGCUCUAAGACACAGCAAGGACAUGGGAAUGUGGGAGAUGUCUGGCCCCAACAUCAGGGAACGAUUCUCCCACUGGGUGAUACUGAGCACCCACAGCAGAGACUGGGUGUCUUAGUGUUCAAGGGCUAAUAAGGUGGCUCAAAACAACAGAAAUUUCUUAUAUAUAUAUAUAUAUAGUUCUGGAGGCCAGAAAUCCCAAAUCAAAGUAAGGGCAGGGCCAUGCUCCCUCCCCUGGUGCUGGGAGAUAAUCUUUCCUUGCCCUUCUAGUUUCUGGUGGCUGCUGAUAAUCAGGCAAUCUUUGGCAUAGAGGGCAUAGAGUUUUAUCACCCCAACCUCUGUCUCUAUCCUCACGCUGUCUUCUCUUUGUAGCUCUCUCUCUGUUUCUCAUUCCCCCUCUGCCUCCCUGUUUUGAUUUUUUUAUUUUUUAUUUCUUAAGUAUAGCUGACACACGAUGUCACAUGAGUUUCAAGUGUACAACAGCACCAGGUGAUUUCACAACUCAACACAUGAUGCUAUGGUUUGUUGUCGCUGCUGUCUUUAAUCAAAGUAUAGUUGGCAUGUGAUGUCAUAUUACCUCUGCCUCACUCUAUUAUAAAGAUCCUGGGAUCCCUGGGUGGCGCAGCGGUUUGGCGCCUGCCUUUGGCCCAGGGCGCGAUCCUGGAGACCCUGGAUCGAAUCCCACGUCAGGCUCCCGGUGCAUGGAGCCUGCUUCUCCCUCUGCCUGUGUCUCUGCCUCUCUCUCUCUCUCUCUAUCAUAAAUAAAUAAAAAUUAAAAAAAAAAAAA